UACGUAGGGUGCGAGCGUUAAUCGGAAUUACUGGGCGUAAAGCGUGCGCAGGCGGUUUUGCAAGCCGGAUGUGAAAUCCCCGGGCUUAACCUGGGAAUGGCAUUUGGGACUGCAAGGCUGGAGUGCGGCAGAGGAGACUGGAAUUCCUGGUGUAGCAGUGAAAUGCGUAGAUAUCAGGAGGAACACCGGUGGCGAAGGCGGAUCUCUGGGCCGUAACUGACGCUGAGGAGCGAAAGCAUGGGGAGCGAACAGG
rnacentral:rRNA from 1 species